CUACCUUAACCUUCUCGAAGUCGGACUGAUAACAUAACUUUCAUUUCUUAUUUAUUGAUUUCAGCAUACUGUGUGGACAAGGAAAGCCACGCGAAGAAAAAAACCAAGUGAGACGUGGAAAUCGGUUACAUGGUUGUGUAUCUACGAGUAAACCAAUAUACGAACCAAGACUAAAGUUUCGACAAAAACACAUUUAUGACGUAAUCAAAGUAUCCAAGCAAUGCUCGUCUUCGUGCUUUAUUGAAUUCAUAGUAGACUGAUUACACCUGCAACGACAGAGAGUGGCGACGUUAGUUCGCGUUAUAAUCCUUUUGGAAUUCCGACAAAGAUCAGCAACGAAAGAACGGGAGGAAUAUGGAUUCUCAUCUUUUCUUUGAUUGGCCUACUUACCUGAAUGGAGGGUGCGUAGAAAAAGGUCGGUCUAGUAGGGGACUGCGGGAGGUGGAGGAGAGGUGUAAUAGUACGGAGGCGGGGGCGGUGAUUUGUAGAUGUAAGGUGGUGGAGGUGGUGAUGAAUAGACGUAUGGAGGAGGAGGAGGAGACUUAUACACAUAAGGUGGUGGUGGAGGCGACUUAUAAAUGUAAGGAGGAGGUGGCGGAGAUUUGUAUUCAUAAGGAGGCGGUGGUGGUGACUUGUAGACAUAGGGAGGUGGGGGAGGCGAUUUGUACUCAUAAGGAGGGGGUGGUGGUGACUUGUAUACAUAAGGUGGUGGUGGAGGCGAUNNN
rnacentral:lncRNA from 1 species